ACAGAAAGAACGGAAAGAACCUCCACAGAGACAGAAACAUAAGGCAGAAAAUUAGGUGACAGGUCAAGAACAACAACGGAAACAACGGAAACAACGGAAACAACGGAAACAACAGAAACAACGGAAACAACGGAAACAAAACAACCUCCACAGAGACAGAAACAUAAGGCAGAAAAUUAGGUGACAGGUCAAGAAGAACAACGGAAGACGGAAACAACGGAAACAACCGAAACAACCGAAACAACCAUAACAACCUCCACAGAGACAGAAACAUAAGGCAGAUAAUUAGGUGACAGGUCAAGAACAACAACGGAAACACUAACGGAAACACUAACGGAAACACUAACGGAAACAUCCGCCAGAGAGACAGAAACAUACGGCAGAAAAUUAGGUGACAUGUCAAGAACAACAACGGAAACAACUGAAACAACCAAAACAACCGAAACAACCUCCACAGAGACAGAAACAUAAGGCAGAAAAUUAGGUAACAGGUCAAGCACAACAACGGAAACAACCGAAACAACCUGCACAGAGACAGAAACAUAAGGCAGAAAAUUAGGUGACAGGUCAAGAACAACAACGGAAAUAACAGAAAAAACUGAAAUAACAAAAAUAAUAACGGAAAUAACGAAAAUAACCUUCACAGAGAUAGAAACAUAAGGACAAAAAUUAGGUGACAG
rnacentral:lncRNA from 1 species